rnacentral:rRNA from 1 species
GGACCUGACUGCUAUCGGAUUGAUACUAAGCCAUGCGAGUCAUUGUAGCAAUACAAGGCAUACGGCUCAGUAACGCGUAGUCAACCUAACCUAUGGACGGGAAUAACCUCGGGAAACUGAGAAUAAUGCCCGAUAGAACAUUAUGCCUGGAAUGGUUUAUGUUCCAAAUGAUUUAUCGCCGUAGGAUGGGACUGCGGCCUAUCAGUUUGUUGGUGAGGUAAUGGCCCACCAAGACUAUUACAGGUACGGGCUCUGAGAGGAGUAGCCCGGAGAUGGGUACUGAGACACGGACUCUGUUCCUAUGGGGCGCAGCAGGCGAGAAAACUUUGCAAUGUGCGAACGCACGACAA